ACGAACGCUGGCGGCGUGCCUAAUACAUGCAAGUAGAACGCUGAAGAGAGGAGCUUGCUCUUCUUGGAUGAGUUGCGAACGGGUGAGUAACGCGUAGGUAACCUGCCUUGUAGCGGGGGAUAACUAUUGGAAACGAUAGCUAAUACCGCAUAACAAUGGAUGACACAUGUCAUUUAUUUGAAAGGGGCAAUUGCUCCACUACAAGAUGGACCUGCGUUGUAUUAGCUAGUAGGUGAGGUAACGGCUCACCUAGGCGACGAUACAUAGCCGACCUGAGAGGGUGAUCGGCCACACUGGGACUGAGACACGGCCCAGACUCCUACGGGAGGCAGCAGUAGGGAAUCUUCGGCAAUGGGGGCAACCCUGACCGAGCAACGCCGCGUGAGUGAAGAAGGUUUUCGGAUCGUAAAGCUCUGUUGUAAGUCAAGAACGAGUGUGAGAGUGGAAAGUUCACACUGUGACGGUAGCUUACCAGAAAGGGACGGCUAACUACGUGCCAGCAGCCGCGGUAAUACGUAGGUCCCGAGCGUUGUCCGGAUUUAUUGGGCGUAAAGCGAGCGCAGGCGGUUUGAUAAGUCUGAAGUUAAAGGCUGUGGCUCAACCAUAGUUCGCUUUGGAAACUGUCAAACUUGAGUGCAGAAGGGGAGAGUGGAAUUCCAUGUGUAGCGGUGAAAUGCGUAGAUAUAUGGAGGAACACCGGUGGCGAAAGCGGCUCUCUGGUCUGUAACUGACGCUGAGGCUCGAAAGCGUGGGGAGCGAACAGGAUUAGAUACCCUGGUAGUCCACGCCGUAAACGAUGAGUGCUAGGUGUUGGAUCCUUUCCGGGAUUCAGUGCCGCAGCUAACGCAUUAAGCACUCCGCCUGGGGAGUACGACCGCAAGGUUGAAACUCAAAGGAAUUGACGGGGGCCCGCACAAGCGGUGGAGCAUGUGGUUUAAUUCGAAGCAACGCGAAGAACCUUACCAGGUCUUGACAUCCCGAUGCUAUUUCUAGAGAUAGAAAGUUACUUCGGUACAUCGGUGACAGGUGGUGCAUGGUUGUCGUCAGCUCGUGUCGUGAGAUGUUGGGUUAAGUCCCGCAACGAGCGCAACCCUUAUUGCCAGUUACUACGCAAGAGGACUCUGGCGAGACUGCCGUUGACAAAACGGAGGAAGGUGGGGAUGACGUCAAAUCAUCAUGCCCCUUAUGACCUGGGCUACACACGUGCUACAAUGGUUGGUACAACGAGUUGCGAGUCGGUGACGGCAAGCUAAUCUCUUAAAGCCAAUCUCAGUUCGGAUUGUAGGCUGCAACUCGCCUACAUGAAGUCGGAAUCGCUAGUAAUCGCGGAUCAGCACGCCGCGGUGAAUACGUUCCCGGGCCUUGUACACACCGCCCGUCAAGCCAUGAAAGCCGGGGGUACCUGAAGUGCGUAACCACGAGGAGCGCCCUAGGGUAAAACUGGUGACUGGGGCU
rnacentral:rRNA from 1 species